GGAAUGGGAUAGGGAGCAAGAAUUGGGAGGGUUGUGGCUUGGAGGGAAGUUAUGGGGGGAAAAGCCAUUGCAAUACAUAAGCUGUACUUUGGAAAUUUAUAUUUGCUAAAUAAAAGUUAAAAAAUACUUUUUCGGUAUUAUUAAGCCAUAAUGGCUGUACUGGCACUAUAACACCAAUUUUACCAAAUUUUUUCAAGAUUACAUUUAAUUAAGAUGUCACAAUGAUGUGUUACUAAUAGAACAAUGUAUUUUCUUUCAGAUCAUUUCAGCAAUUCCUUCAGCAAAGGAUAAGAUGAAAUGAUCUGGGUAAACUGCUUAUUAGAGGCCUCGAACCAGGGCUGUGAUGGAGAGUUUUCAGUGGAAAUUCUACAGAAAGAAGGGAGUCUCUAUGAAGUAGUGUGGGCACUACAAACAUGGAGCAGUGAGCAGUGACACCACCGCCAACUUCCACAAGUUAGAGGCUGGAGGAGAAGCCAUCUUCUUGGGACAAGGUGAGAAAAGUCUGUGCCAACCCAUGUCACUGGUGAUAUUGCCUGAUUGAGAACUUUGUGGACACACUGACUUGGGUUUGGGUUUGUAAUUCUUGUGGAGAGUAUAUAAGUUCCCACCUUAUCCCAUUAAAGGAGAGCAUACUGCCCUCUUCUCAUUUCAG